CUCAUCACAUUCGCUGCUGUUACUGGUUAUCUAUCCUGUUGCCUAGUCACUUUACCCCUACCUACAGUAUACUGCUGUUACUGUCUAUCUAUCCUUUACCACUACCUACAGUAUACUGCUGUUACUGUCUAUUAUCUAUCCUUUACCCCUACCUACAGUAUACUGCUGUUACUGUCUAUUAUCUAUCCUUUACCCCUACCUACAGUAUACUGCUGUUACUGUCUAUUAUCUAUCCUUUACCCCUACCUACAGUAUACUGCUGUUACUGUCUAUUAUCUAUCCUUUACCCCUACCUACAGUAUACUGCUGUUACUGUCUAUCUAUCCUUUACCCCUACCUACAGUAUACUGCUGUUACUGUCUAUUAUCUAUCCUUUACCCCUACCUACAGUAUACUGCUGUUACUGUCUAUUAUCUAUCCUUUACCCCUACCUACAGUAUACUGCUGUUACUGUCUAUCUAUCCUUUACCCCUACCUACAGUAUACUGCUGUUACUGUCUAUUAUCUAUCCUUUACCCCUACCUACUGCUGUUACUGUCUAUUAUCUAUCCUUUACCCCUACCUACAGUAUACUGCUGUUACUGUCUAUUAUCUAUCCUUUACCCCUACCUACAGUAUACUGCUGUUACUGUCUAUUAUCUAUCCUUUACCCCUACCUACAGUAUACUGCUGUUACUGUCUAUCUAUCCUUUACCCCUACCUACAGUAUACUGCUGUUACUGUCUAUUAUCUAUCCUUUACCCCUACCUACAGUAUACUGCUGUUACUGUCUAUUAUCUAUCCUUUACCCCUACCUACAGUAUACUGCUGUUACUGUCUAUUAUCUAUCCUUUACCCCUACCUACAGUAUACUGCUGUUACUGUCUAUUAUCUAUCCUUUACCCUUACCUACAGUAUACUGCUGUUACUGUCUAUUAUCUAUCCUUUUUCCCUACCUAUAUGUACAUAUCUACCUCAAUUACCUUGUACCCUUGCACAUCGACUCAGUACUGGUACCCCGUGUAUAUAGACAUGUUAUCAUUGACUCAGUACUGGUACCCCGUGUAUAUAGCCAUGUUAUCGCUACUGAUUGCAUAUUUAUUCCUUGUUAUUAUGUCUCUCUGCAUUGUUGAGAAGGGCCCGAAAGGAAGCAUUUCACUGUUAGUCUACAUUUGGUGUUAA
rnacentral:lncRNA from 8 species